GACGAACGCUGGCGGCGUGCUUAACACAUGCAAGUCGAACGGAAAGGCCCUGCUUUUGUGGGGUGCUCGAGUGGCGAACGGGUGAGUAACACGUGAGUAACCUGCCCUUGACUUUGGGAUAACUUCAGGAAACUGGGGCUAAUACCGGAUAGGAGCUCCUGCUGCAUGGUGGGGGUUGGAAAGUUUCGGCGGUUGGGGAUGGACUCGCGGCUUAUCAGCUUGUUGGUGGGGUAGUGGCUUACCAAGGCUUUGACGGGUAGCCGGCCUGAGAGGGUGACCGGCCACAUUGGGACUGAGAUACGGCCCAGACUCCUACGGGAGGCAGCAGUGGGGAAUAUUGCACAAUGGGCGGAAGCCUGAUGCAGCAACGCCGCGUGCGGGAUGACGGCCUUCGGGUUGCAAACCGCUUUCGCCUGUGACGAAGCGUGAGUGACGGUAAUGGGUAAAGAAGCACCGGCUAACUACGU
rnacentral:rRNA from 1 species